rnacentral:lncRNA from 1 species
CACAUGGUAAAUAAAGUAAUUUCAGUCAAAAAGAGAAUCAGGUAUUAAAAUAUAGUAACCUUUGUUUCCGGUCGAAAAUGACUAAGUGCCGUACUUUUAUAGACAAUCGUGGAAAUUAAUUCGUAGACUUUUCAAAAAUCUCCCAAUUUCCCCCCCUCCCCGUUUACAAUGUUGGUUUGUGGUCCAAUAACCAUGGUUUGAACCAACAUUGUGGUAGGG